UGAGGAAUAUUGGUCAAUGGGCGCAAGCCUGAACCAGCCAUGCCGCGUGCAGGAUGAAGCAUCUAUGGUGUGUAAACUGCUUUUGUACGGGAAGAAACACCCCUUCGUGAAGGGGCUUGACGGUACCGUAAGAAUAAGGAUCGGCUAACUCCGUGCC
rnacentral:rRNA from 1 species